rnacentral:misc_RNA from 1 species
CAAUAAGAAGUGAAAUACCCUUGGACUAGGAUGUAAAUAUGAGAACAUGAGCAAGUUCUUUAAUGUACUACCCGAGAGACGCUUACGUUUAGUACUUACAACACUGCAAUUCAGAGAUGACAAUUAAGAAUGUUAGAGGCAUCGUGAGACUUAUAACGAAGAUUGAAAAAACUGACGCAAAAACGAGAAUUUGGCAGGAGACCUCAAUGCUUACAAAAUAACACAACUUGAAGUUAGAAUACCAGAAUGCCCGCCGUUUGAGAAGUUACAAUUAGGAAGGUCCAAACAAAGAUAGGGAUUAAUUUAUCAACGGUAAAAUAUAAACGAGGACUUAAUUCAAUUCGGCGCAGAUAGAUUCAGGUCCCUAGUGGCGUUGAUGAGAGACGAUGUAUCGAUAUAUUUUAAUGUGUUGAAGACCUGGCAGGAAUAAUGUGCAACAGUGUCACGAAAGACUUAGUUACUAUGACAAUGGAUCAACUUGCGAAUACUUCAUUUACUGAUGAUCCGGUAAGAAAUGUUCCCUUGAGUGAAAUAUUUCAUCUUGCUAAAAAUUAUAACGAAUACAAAAUCGGCGCUAUGAUACAUCGCUAUUGGCCGAUGGUUAUUCUUCCAUUUGGACUUGUUGGCAAUCUUCUUGCGUUUUUGGUGAUGACCCGGAAGCAAAGUCGGCAGAAAUCGACGUGCAUCUAUAUGGCGGUUCUUUCAGUUACCGAUACCGUGUCUCUCUUCAUUCUGCUUUAUCAUUGGAUCGUCACGAAUUUCGUCCAGUUACCAAUCACAGAGUACCAUAACGAUAUCAACUGCAAGAUUCUCUCCUAUAUUUCUCAGGUCACCACCGAAUACGGCGUCAGCGUAAUUAUCGCGAUGACCAUUGACCGUUACAUCGCCGUGAAGUACCCGAUUCACAGCGUCACCUGGUGCUCAUUGAAAAGAACUCGUAGGAUUCUUGUCAUUGGGAUAAUCAUUCUGUCUAUUUAUAACAUCCCCAUUCCAUGGAUGAGUGGCUCGGUGGAAUGGGACAUCUGCGCAACUUUCAAUACACAGGAUGACUUUACUGCUGCCUAUAGCUGGAUAUACAUCAUAUUUGGCUCGGUCUUUCCAGUAGUUGCGUUAAUGUGCUUCAAUACUCUUAUCAUUCGCUCUAUUCGUGACCAAAGCAAAAAGAUUCUGAACCUACGAGUAGGUCAAGGUCAUAGUAGGUCACAGUCGAACGCAUCAAAUGACUCACGCCUUAUAAGGCAAUCGAGCAAAGAAACAUGGGGCCUGUCACGUGGGGACAUUCAUUCCAGACAGAGACAGUUGACAUUGAUGCUUUUAUUGGUGACUUUCACGUUCAUUCUACUGACCUUACCUCAAUAUAUUCGAUACACCCUUUACGUAACCCUAGACUAUCAUUCCUCCGCAAAGUUAUAUGCUUUGUACACCUUGAUCUACCACAUCUCCAACAAGUUAUGGUUCACCAAUUGUGCCGUUAAUUUCUAUCUCUAUUGUCUAGUUGGUGAGAAAUUUAGGAGAGAUUUAAAAACUCUUUUCUCGCGAGAAUCAAAACGCCCUAUAUAUUUAGAACUUGCUUUACAAUUUGGUCAAAGGUCUACUCCGUUUGAUUCGAGAAGGACCAGUGCUAAAAGUAGUCCAGUGUUCGCACGUGAAAUGUCGGCCAUUAACGAAGAGCUAUCAGUUGCUAUGGAAACAACCAUAGUUGCAACCGACACUAGAAAUAACACUGGAAUCAUCAAAGAGCAACUGGGAAAGGAGACAAAUGGCGUGAGGAAGUAUAAAAACGGUGUCAGCAAAUAUGUCAAUGGAGAAACCAAGCACAUGAAUGGAGAAAUCCACGAUAGUACACUGAUCGUUAAUGGCGUACAAUAAUGUAAUUAUGCCGCUGUUUGGACUGAUUAAUUGAUUGUCAUGGGAUUCCUUCUUGACCAACUCUCGAUCGACGAUUACAUUAGAUUGCGGCAUACAUCUAGUUGUAGUUCUACAUGUGCAUUAGGAAACAGCAGACGUUGGCAAAGAGGGGUCGGCUCAAGCAAUCGAUAAUUUAUAGCUGGUCUUAUUUAAUUAUCACUAUUUGUAAAAAUAUAAAUUCAAAUACAGUACUUUUACAAAAAACAAUUCCUGAAACAAGCAGUAUUAAAUGUC